AAAGCAUCAUCAUUUCAGUCCUGAUGUCAGCCAAAGUCCUUCCAGGCUUAACUGAGCUGCAGAGUAUUUCAGUCCCAUGGACAAGAAGCAAAUUGGAUACACUCAAAGUAAUAAAGAUAAAUGAUCCCUUUGUGUGGCAUCCUUUCUGGAAGAAAAGGCAGUAAACAAUGAACAAGC